AACGAACGCUGGCGGUAUGCUUAACACAUGCAAGUCGAACGCGUCUUCGUCCUUUACUACGUAAAGGACUACGCCGCGCAGGUGCUUUUUAAAGUGCUUGUUUGGUGAAAGCACAUUGCGUAGCAAUGGGCGAAGAUGAGUGGCAAACGGGUGAGUAAUAUAGAGGAAUCUACCUAGCAGUAAGGAAUAACUUUGGGAAACCAAAGCUAAUGCCAUAUAUUACCGAUUUAUCGGGAAAGAUUUAUCGCUGUUAGAUGAGCCUCUAUCGGAUUAGCUUGUUGGUGAGGUAAUGGCUCACCAAGGCGAUGAUCCGUAGCUGGUCUGAGAGGAUGAUCAGCCACACUGGAACUGAGACACGGUCCAG
rnacentral:rRNA from 1 species